CCCCUAUUAAACUGUGUAAAAGGUCAAAAGACACCGGCCAACGGGUGUCUGGUGUUCUCUUACCCUUACGAAAACUUUUCAAUGUUUGAUGAACUAGAAAAUUCUUGGUGAAGUCCUCCCAACCAUUUAACUUGAACAAAAAGGCUAACACCGCCAUAUGCCUAUCUACCACCGAAGACGAAGCAUAGAUAGAGAACAAUCUACACAAG